rnacentral:rRNA from 1 species
AUUGAACGCUGGCGGCAGGCCUAACACAUGCAAGUCGAGCGGUAACAGAUCUAGCUUGCUAGAUGCUGACGAGCGGCGGACGGGUGAGUAACGCGUAGGAAUCUACCCAGUAGCGGGGGAUAAGCCAGAGAAAUUUGGAUUAAUACCUCAUAAUAUUUUUAACUCGCAUGAGUUUUAAAUUAAAACUUCGGUGGUAAAAGAUGGGCAUGCGUUCUAUUAGUUUGUUGGUAAGGUAACGGCUUACCAAGACUACGAUAGAUAGGGGUUCUGAGAGGAUAGUCCCCCACACUGGUACUGAGACACGGACCAG